CAGCAUUAUCACAGUGUAUUCCGUGCGAUUAUUUAACUGGAUUUUGAUUAAAAAAACAUUUAGUGUGUAAUUUUUCUUUAAAAGUUUUAUGCCUUUAUCUGAACACUAUAGUCAGUGACCAGACGGUACACAAAUUAAUAAAUGAGAGUACUUUUUAGAAACCGGUUCUCUCCACGAUCCGAUCGGGAUUUAACGGAUGCCAAGAAUGUGUGUUCCGGCUAAAUCUACAAUGUCUCACAGUCGUCAUAUUUUUGUGGCUACGUCAAAAGAAACGCGAUAAAUGUAAUGAAAGGAAUACCAGCAAUAAACACGACAAUAUUUGAACACUUGAUAGCAUAUAAGUUCUGUUUGCAAGUGUACACAUACAUACGGAUACGGCACACACAUCUAAGCAAAUGGAGUGUCUUGUCUCCUGUUUAUUACUACUGAUGGGCAGGUACUCACCCGUGAUAGUGACGAAGACGUGUCGGCUGUGGCAUUAGGGGCUCGACGUGUCAUUGUGAAGGCUGU